GCCCGGUUAGCUCAAUCGGUAGAGCGUGAGACUCUUAAUCUCAAGGUUGCGGGUAUGUAUUCCUCUCAACAAUCAUGGAGGUUAUUCGCAGUCAUAUGCUAACAUCACCUUGAAGGUUCGACCCCCGCAUCGGGCU